ACAAAGUCAGCAAGAAUUUUAUUUUCGUACUUCAGUGGUCGAAUUUCCAUCGAUUCUUCGAACAGUUUUUCGAAAGCUCUGUCGACAUAGGAAAGAAAGAUUUUUUGCGAAUAAUGUGCAACAUAUUUACAUAACUGUUGUAAGUUCGAAACAGUUAUUCAUAACUGAGCUCAAGCUAUGCCUUAGCCAGCGCCCUCUAUGCUAAUUCUGAAAAUGGCGCAAAAUAGGGAGAAAAGCCACACUGUUGUGCAAUUGAAAAAUCAAUGAAACCCAAUUUGGUAAUAGCUGCUCUUACACUACUACUUCCGCGCCACUUUUUAGAGGCUUUCAAUGAAAACAUCUUUUCACUACUAGAACGCCUACAGACCUGGCCUAUGUUGUACAGUAAGUUCAACCUAAUUAGGAAAGCGAAAGCCUUCUUGCUCUUCCGGUGAAAUCUUAUUCUUAAUUGGAUGUACACAAAAGGAAGCAUUCUGAGAAAGGAGCAUCGUAUCUCCGGUUUGCCAGAUAGCAGAUUGAGAAGUGUGCAUCGCUUAGUCCAGUGUUUCCCAAAGUGUGGUACGCGU